rnacentral:rRNA from 1 species
UACGAAGGGGGCUAGCGUUGCUCGGAAUUACUGGGCGUAAAGCGCACGUAGGCGGCUUUCUAAGUCGGGGGUGAAAUCCUGGAGCUCAACUCCAGAACUGCCUUCGAUACUGGAGAGCUCGAGUCCGGGAGAGGUGAGUGGAACUGCGAGUGUAGAGGUGAAAUUCGUAGAUAUUCGCAAGAACACCAGUGGCGAAGGCGGCUCACUGGCCCGGUACUGACGCUGAGGUGCGAAAGCGUGGGGAGCGAACAGG